CCUACGGGUGGCAGCAGUGGGGAAUAUUGGACAAUGGGCGAAAGCCUGAUCCAGCCAUGCCGCGUGUGUGAAGAAGGCCUUCGGGUUGUAAAGCACUUUCAGUGGGGAAGAAAGCCUUGGGGCUAAUACCCUCGAGGAAGGACAUCACCCACAGAAGAAGCACCGGCUAACUCCGUGCCAGCAGCCGCGGUGAAUACGGAGGGUGCGAGCGUUAAUCGGAAUUACUGGGCGUAAAGCGCGCGUAGGCGGUCUGAUAAGCCGGUUGUGAAAGCCCCGGGCUCAACCUGGGAACGGCAUCCGGAACUGUCAGGCUAGAGUGCAGGAGAGGAAGGUAGAAUUCCCGGUGUAGCGGUGAAAUGCGUAGAGAUCGGGAGGAAUACCAGUGGCGAAGGCGGCCUUCUGGACUGACACUGACGCUGAGGUGCGAAAGCGUGGGUAGCAAACAGGAUUAGAUACCCCUGUAGUC
rnacentral:rRNA from 1 species